UCGAAGGUAGCAUAAUCAGUAGUUUUUUAAUUGGAAACUCGUAUGAAUGGUUCAACGAAAUAUUAACUGUUUCACAAAAAUUUUAAUAGAAAUUAAUUUUUUAGUUAAAAAGCUAAAAUAAAAUUUAAAGACGAGAAGACCCUAUAGAGUUUUAUAUAAAAAUUUUAUACUUUAUUUAUAAUAUUUUAAAUUUUAUUAUUGUUUAUAUUUUGUUGGGGUGACAGUAAAAUUUUUUUAUCUUUUAUUAUUUAUUAACAAUGAUUUUUGUUUUAUUGAUCCAUUAUUAGUGAUUAAAAGAUUAAAUUACCUUAGGGAUAACAGCGUAAUUUUUUUGUAGAGUUCUUAUCGAUAAAAAUUUUUGC
rnacentral:rRNA from 1 species